AGACUUGUUACAAGUCUUGUUUCCAUCUUUCAUUUGGACAAAAAUCAGAACAUAAGAAUCAUAUAUCAAGUCUAGUCUCCAUUUUCAUUUGGAAAGAAUCAAACGUCCUUAACAAGAAUCAGAUAUCAAUGCUUUCAAAGUUCAAAAACGUUCUUUCUCAAUUCAGAAACGUUAAGCAGAAGCUAACCUAUCGUUCCAAAAAGCUUCAUAGAAUCAGAAGCAAUUUCGUUCCAAAAUUUCAAAGGAUCAAAAGCAAAAUUUCGUUCAUGAAUUUCAAAGAAGCAGGAGCAAAUUUCGUUCAAGGAUUUCAAAAAAAAAAAAAAAAGCAGAAGCUUAAUCCGAUUUUUUUUUUUGAGUUCUAAAUUCAAUCAAUGAAGGUUUUCCAACGGAAUAUUAUACGGAGUUUUUCCUACUCCAGGUCCCAAUAAACAUGUAGAGAGCCCUUCAAGUAGGCAAUCAGCUCAGCGGAAGAUGUUGGUGCGCUCCAUUUGCUUCGGAGUUGCUUGUUUGGUUAGUAUGAUUUAGACGUGUAAUGUUUGGUAUGGUGGGACUCUGUCCCGAUCUUUGUGAAAAUUAUGUAUUCUUAGAGGCUUGUAGACAGAUGUCAUAUACGUAUAAGAUUGUAUGGCCUUGUCGGUCUAUGUUCAGUAUACGAGUGGUUAUUUUUUCCUUUUAGGCCCGUACGUCAUAUGUAUAAGUUUGGACUACAUGUUGGAUCGUCCAAUGUCGAGUAUUUCUCCAUGUUUUAUUGCACUUAUCUCACGACA